CACUAGUGUAAAUAUUUUAAAUUGAAAAUCGAGUUUAUUCAUUGUAUUCAUAUAGGGUCAAGGAGUGUAACUGUAAAAAAUCAUCAAAAUCAGAGUUAAAAUAACCGUUAAAUCGUGAUUUUUCAUUGAUAACCGUCGAAAAGUUUUGUCCCGUUACUUGAUCUCUGGAUGUUUGUUUUUUGCAAUUUUUUGCUGAUGUGAUCUCGAAGCGUAUACAAACAAGUUUGACGGUUGGAUUGU
rnacentral:lncRNA from 1 species